AGUUCACCCAAUGUCAAAACAAAAGUCCACUGCUAAGUUUUUCGAAAAAAACAAAAAACAAAAACAAGACUCACAAACUACUCAGCGUCGGCGCGCUUGUCAUAUAACCCUGCAGUGGAGAGACUUUUCUCAACGACAUAUCGGAUAAAAACAUAACCGAGACCCUCAAUAUCAUCAUCUCACCUGACCAAAUGUAGUUCUUUGAACGGGAAUUAACGCGUUAAUUCACUGGACUACGAUGAAAUGAUCUUCAACAGUGAGCCCCACAGUCUACGCCAGUCCUGUAGGCCUAAUUAUGGAUUAAAAUCCCCCCAGGAGGACAUCAAAGUGCCCUGCGAUGGACUGGCGACCUGUCCAGGGUGU